CCUAGUUGCGAUGGCAUCACACCUAAGUCCUUUCACGAGGACAUCUUCCAUGACAAAACCAUGACACACAAGGUCAAAGAAUCUACCCCCAUUCCAUCAAUACAUGGGUAGCGUUGAAGGAAUAUUUUAUCAAGAAUUUCCAAGGCACUUGCAAGCGUACCAUGAUGAUUGUUGACUUACAACAUUGCUUCUAGCAUACGGAUGAGUCUGGCCAUCACUGGAUUCAUCGGUCGCAAAUCUCAUCCACUACUCUGAUAACAUCACAC
rnacentral:lncRNA from 1 species